rnacentral:lncRNA from 1 species
CCUUGCCCAGCACGGAGGGAGAGCCGGGCUCCUUCGCCUCGCAGAAAUCUGCCCAGGAAAGAGAACAGAAAAGGCAGAAAGGUGACAUUAGAAGUGAAGAGGAGGAAGAAGAACAAGAGCAGAAAUGGAAAAGGAAAGAGAAGUAGGAACAAAUGGAAAAAGUGAAGGUAGAUCUGGAAAAGGAACAACAGAGGAGAUGGAAGAGAUGUGGCCAUGCACAUGCAUCCAAACCUAUCAAUGUUCCAGCAUGAAGAAACAUAGAUAACAACAAAACAUCUUCUAAUAUAACAGAAGACUAACAACACAGCGUGUGAAGGAGCCAGCAAACUGAUCCAGCACUGCCAGGCAAAUUCUAAACUAAAGUAUAACAUCACAGAUCUUUUAAUCUGAAAUAGGUGCAUAGCAGCAUACUAGAUUUUUCCUAAGUUUAGUAUUGUGUGUAUGUCUACUAACUUAACUUCAUUUUUUCUAAUACUUUCAUCUAAAUUCUGAUUUUUCCAAGUGUCUCUCAAUAUGAAAAAAAUCAGUAUCAACAGUGAUUCAAAGUCAUUAAACAAAUUCAGGUUUUCAACCAAUUGUACCUAGCUUACAGUGAGUUCACGAAGAUGAUAUUCCCCACUUUUCAUAAAGCACUAAAUCCCUUACUGAGCAUCUCCCCUGACAAAAACCUCAGCAUGG